AGGGUACACAGUGCAACAGAAGUCGAAGCAAUGGUUAGUCAAAAGCUGAAUGCAACGAGUUUGGUGAUGACAGCGCUGGUUGUGACUGCCAUACUGGUGAUGGCUGGCCCAGCGGACGCCCAGAGCACCACGACGCGAAGAUCGGCCGCGGUAGACGUAGGCCUGGGAGACACCGUUGGCAGUCUAGGAGGAACACUUGGGAACACCCUGGGAGGUGGCGUUCUGCACGUAGGCCGUGCUGCGAAGCCCAUAUCGACGUCAUCGGCACACAGCCGUUCACAGAAGAGUCAGACGUAAACACAGAGAAACCAAUUCAGCUACUGUUAUUUCAUAUAGUACAAUGUUUAUAAUGUUGAUGUUGAAUAUCUACGUGUUAAUAAAUGAUAGAAAUGUG